rnacentral:rRNA from 1 species
GACGAACGCUGGCGGCGUGCUUAACACAUGCAAGUCGAACGAGUGGCGAACGGGUGAGUGACAAGUGGGUGACAUGCCCUGCACUUCGGGAUAAGCCUGGGCAACUGGGGCUGAUACCGGAUAGUGUGGGCUGGGACCGGGGCCUAUCGGCGUGUUGGUGGGGUAAGGGCCACCAAGGCGCGGCGGGUAGCCGGCCUGAGAGGAUGUGCAGCCACACGUGGACUGAGACACGGCCCAGAAUCCUACGGGAGGCAGCAGUGGGGAAUAGUGCACAAUGGGAGCAAGCCUGAUGCAGCCAUGCCGCGUGUAUGAAGAAGGCCUUAGGGUUGUAAAGUACUUUCAGCGGGGAGGCGUUACCCGCAGAAGAAGCACCGGCUAACUCCGUGCCAGCAGCCGCGGUAAUUC